rnacentral:rRNA from 1 species
AAAAAUAAUAGUAAGUGCGAUUGUAUAUCUGCCACUGCAGCAUCAUCUUACGUUGGUGGGAUAUUUGCCUACCAAGGAUUCGACGCUUACGGGGAAUUAGGGUUUGACUCCGGAGAAUGAGCAUGAGAAACAGCUCAUACAUCUAAGGAAGGCAGCAGGCGCGGAAAUUGCCCAAUGUAUCUUUUAUACGAGGCAGUGACAAGAAAUGGUAGGCACUUUUGUGCACUAUCGAGGGUUAGUGGUAUCUUUGCUAACCGUGACUCGUGGGCAAGCUCGGUGCCAGCAGCCGCGGUAAUUCCGACACAGGGAGUUUUCCAUUUGGUUGCUGCAGUUAAAAAGUUCGUAGUUCACUGACUCUUUCACUAUAAGCAAAGCCGAAUGCUCCAAGUUUUUUAGCAGUAUUUAUAGUAUGAAAUUAUAGCGCGGCAUUGAACGUAGUUUGGGGUACUCGAAAGGGACAGGUGAAAUAGGAUGAUCUAUCGAAGACCCACGGUAGCGGAGGCUCCCAACGAAGUCCAAGUGUCACGAUCAAGAACUAAAGUCAGGGGAUAGACGACGAUUAGACACCGUUUUAUUCCUGACCCUAAACGAUGUCGCCUAGCUGAUGGGAUUUUUUUCAUUUGCCAAGAGAAAUCGUAAGGUUUCAGACUCUGGGGGAAGUAUGAUCGCAAGGUUGAAACUUGAAGGGAUUGACGGAGAGGUACCACCAGACGUGGAGUCUGCGGCUCAAUUUGACUCAACACGCAAACAUUACUAGGCCCAGAAGCU